GACGGAGGAUGCAAGCGUUAUCCGGAAUUAUUGGGCGUAAAGCGUCCGCAGGUGGCCUAUCAAGUCUGCUGUCAAGGACCGGGGCUUAACCCCAGAAAGGCAGUGGAAACUGAAAGGCUAGAGGAUGGUAGGGGCAGAGGGAAUUCCCAGUGUAGCGGUGAAAUGCGUAGAGAUUGGGAAGAACACCGGUGGCGAAAGCGACUCUCUGGCCUGUAACUGACGCUGAGGCGCGAAAGCUAGGGGAGCAAACGGG
rnacentral:rRNA from 1 species